rnacentral:rRNA from 1 species
AUUGAACGCUGGCGGCAUGCCUUACACAUGCAAGUCGAACGGCAGCGGACCUUCGGGUGCCGGCGAGUGGCGAACGGGUGAGUAAAGUAUCGGAACGUACCUUUCAGUGGGGGAUAACGUAGCGAAAGUUACGCUAAUACCGCAUAUUCUGUGAGCAGGAAAGCAGGGGAUCGCAAGACCUUGCGCUGAUUGAGCGGCCGAUAUCAGAUUAGCUAGUUGGUGGGGUAAAGGCCUACCAAGGCGGCGAUCUGUAGCGGGUCUGAGAGGAUGAUCCGCCACACUGGGACUGAGACACGGCCCAGACUCCUACGGGAGGCAGCAGUGGGGAAUUUUGGACAAUGGGCGCAAGCCUGAUCCAGCCAUGCCGCGUGAGUGAAGAAGGCCUUCGGGUUGUAAAGCUCUUUCGGCCGGGAAGAAAUCGCAUGGGCUAAUACCCUGUGUGGAUGACGGUACCGGAAUAAGAAGCACCGGCUAACUACGUGCCAGCCGCCGCAGUAAAAC